rnacentral:rRNA from 1 species
GCCGGAUAAUCGGGAGAAAUUCCGUCUAAUACGGCAUAAUGCAUCGACGGGACAUCCUGUUGGUGCCAAAGGUUGAUUCCGGUGGCGGAUGGGCAUGCGUCGCAUUAGUUAGUUGGCGGUGUAACGGACCACCAAGACGACGAUGCGUAGGGGUUCUGAGAGGAAGGUCCCCCACACUGGUACUGAGACACGGACCAGACUCCUACGGGAGGCAGCAGUGAGGAAUAUUGGUCAAUGGGCGGGAGCCUGAACCAGCCAAGUCGCGUGAGGGAUGACGGCCCUAUGGGUUGUAAACCUCUUUUGCCGGGGAGCAAAGUGCCGCACGUGUGCGGUUUGGAGAGUACCCGGAGAAAAAGCAUCGGCUAACUCCGUGCCAGCAGCCGCGGUAAUACGGAGGAUGCGAGCGUUAUCCGGAUUUAUUGGGUUUAAAGGGUGCGUAGGCGGACGCUUAAGUCAGCGGUAAAAUUGCGGGGCUCAACCUCGUCGAGCCGUUGAAACUGGGUGCCUUGAGUGGGCGAGAAGCACGCGGAAUGCGUGGUGUAGCGGUGAAAUGCAUAGAUAUCACGCAGAACUCCGAUUGCGAAGGCAGCGUACCGGCGCCCAACUGACGCUGAAGCACGAAGGCGUGGGUAUCGAACAGGAUUAGAUACCCUGGUAGUCCACGCAGUAAAC